CUGACAUGGUUGAUGACAGUACUGCCUGAUUGGCACUCAAGCACAUCCGAGCAUGAUAGUUGCCAGAGCCAUGGAUUGGCUCCUGUGCCGGUGGCAUGUGAAAAGCACAAUUCGAGCGUGAUCGUUGCCAGCAUUGCCUUACCAGCACAUG